rnacentral:rRNA from 1 species
CAGCAGCCGCGGUAAUUCGAAGGGUGCAAGCGUUGUUCGGAAUUAUUGGGCGUAAAGCGCGCGCAGGCGGGUCAGCAAGUCAGAUGUGAAAUCUCGGGGCUUAACCCCGAAACUGCGUCUGAAACUACUAACCUAGGAUAUCGGAGAGGAAGAUGGAAUUUCGCAUGUAGGGGUAAAAUCCGUAGAGAUGCGAAGGAACACCAGAGGCGAAAGCGAUUUACUGGACGAUUAUUGACGCUGAGGCGCGAAAGCGUGGGGAGCAAACAGGAUUAGAUACCCUGGUAGUCCACGCCGUAAACGAUGAGAACUAGAUUUGGGGGGAGUUUGACCCCUUCUGAAUCGAAGCGAACGCAUUAAGUUCUCCGCCUGGGAAGUACGGUCGCAAGACUAAAACUUAAAGGAAUUGACGG